rnacentral:tRNA from 1 species
AAAAGUCCUGAGGGCAC